GUGAGUAUCUUCCAGGCUCACCCACAGAGUAUACUCAACUGGUGGGCUUUCCCCCCUUACGCAGCAAGUCCAGUCUAGCAUGCCCAUUUCUCUGAGCCUUUUGUUCCCUUCUUCCACCAUCUGUUCUGGAAUUUCUAUUUAAUUUAAUGUGGGCCAUCCCUUACUCCAAGAUUCAAGAGCCAUUGCAGCAGCAGAUGAGCACUAUCUCCCAGGUCCUUGCUAGAGAAUUAAAACAUGUCGCAGGAGAGUGCUCUCAUAGACCCCCUGAACCAGCACUCUUGAGAUCCAGUCUCAUACAUCCAUAAAUACUGGGCCCAAUGGUACGUGUUAGCCAAGUGCUGCGGCUACUUCCUACUCUAGUCCCUUUCCUCCCUUAGCAGGCCCAGCCCUUUCCUGGUGGGCUAUGUGGUGACUUGACACUAGAUUUUGGUGUGGUAGCUAGAAGGCAGAUCCUGAAGGGGAGCAUGUGUUGCCUUAUGAGACAGAGGUCUCUGCAGCAUCUUCAAUCAAGAGGAGUGCUAGUCUCCAACAGGGAGGAUUAAACCAUUUCUACCCACCUCAAGGGUUUCCAGGUUUCCAAGGGUAUCAACCCACAAGUCUUCAUCCCAAGUCCCAGGAUCCUGCUCUUUCCCAGCCCUGCCAGGACUGAGAAGUCAGCCCUCUCUGGAUGCUACUUUUAUCAUGAAGUCCUCCGCUUUGUCUGCCCUUUGGCUUCAGGAAGUGAGUCUCUUUAUAUGCCUCCAAGCAAGCCUCUGACUUUCUCUCUUCGCCUUCAAGUGCUGAUUAAUGACCCCCGUCUUUCAUUGUCUUUCUCAAACGUAUCAACAGCCCUCAGCAAGAGGCGUUGUCCUUAUAAUUAGUACUUCCCCUGAACCUCUCAAAAGCUUGAGAUAUUGAGCCUGCUGGUUCUUUCCCUACCGACAGAAUUCCAUCCCAAUUCAGCACCAAUGAAAAUGUUAACAAAUGGCCAGGAGCUAUCAGUGCUCUACUCGCCAUCAGUGAUGGGCUUCUCAUUGCCAGGUAAUCCACCACCAAAAUCUCUUUUUAGAGUCUGCUUCCUCAAACCCCUGCUGGUACCCACAGUGUUGGGUUGAGUUUCCCGGGAAACAGACCCUGAAGUGAAGGUCUCUGUGCAGGAAGUUCACUGGAGUAGUGCCCUCUGCGUCAAUCCCUGCGGGAGAGUGAAGUAUGUGGGACUGGGCAGAGAGAGGAGUUGAACUGCAAUGCAAUUACAAGGCCUCAGUGGAGUCUAUAGGAGCUCUGGAGCUGGGAUGGAGCUACAGAGUCAUCCCAAAUUAAGGCAAGGGGGCGAGGCAGUCAUACUCCAACAGUGGUCAGUCAUUGGAUGAGGGCUAGCCUUUAUCUCUAGGGUAGGGGCAUGAACUUGGCUGAAACAACUGUCUUCAGCUGAAAGCUGUGCCUGGUGAGGGACUCAGCUGGACUCCAUCGGCCACCAACUCUCCCAGCAGCUGGGGAAAUGAGUGCCUUGGUCUGAAAGGGGAUCUGGAUAGCAUACCACAGCAUGGCUACAAUGUGCUGGGCAUUGCUUUGGUGUUGAGAUACAGCAGUGAACGUAGCAGACAAAAUCCCAUGUUCUUUUCUACGAUUUAAAUGGUGUGCUCAAGGAAGGCAUCACUGUGCAGCUGGCGUUGAACAAAGACUUGGAGGAAGAGAGGAAACAAGCUAUGCAGAUAUUUGGGGCAAAUGUUUUCCAGGCAGCAGCAACAUCAAUGUAAAGAGAUACAGACUCUCUUACUGCCAAUUCACUUUAUUCCCGGGGCCUCGUCUCACCUGUCUCAAAAGUGAACUUCGUAUUUGGUUGUCGGGAUUCAGAAACACAUUCUGGAUAAGGAUGGAGCAUCACAGGACGGCUCGUGUCGGAGGAAGGGAUUUCUCCUGGGUUGUGCUGUUGUUAAUCACUCCAGAUACGUCUGAACGACAACAAACUCCCCAAGGGUUCCUUUCGAAAGCUCACACUUUGUUCUCCAAAGCCAUUGGGCCAAACAGCAACCAACAAACACAAAACAGCCCAUUUAAGAAAUCAAUACAGAGCCAGUCUUGAUGACCUAGUGGUUAAAGUUUGGUGCUCACUGAGUUUGCUGCGGCGGCCCGGGUUCGCUUCCAGGAUGCAGAACCACACCACCCAACUGUCAGGUGCCAUGCUGUGGGGGCGGCUCACACAGAAGAACCAGAAAGACUUACAACCAUGAGUACAACCGCAUAC
ensembl:lncRNA